UACGAAGGUGGCAAGCGUUACUCGGAAUUACUAGGCGUAAAGGGCAGGUAGGCGGUCUGAUAAGUCUGUUGUGGAAGCUCCCGGCUUAACUGGGGAGAGGUCAACGGAAACUAUCAGGCUUGAGUGUGGGAGAGGGUACUGGAAUUCCCGGUGUAGCGGUGAAAUGCGCAGAGAUCGGGAGGAACACCAACGGCGAAAGCAGGUACCUGGACCAUUACUGACGCCUCAGCUGCGAAAGCUAGGGGAGCAAACAGG
rnacentral:rRNA from 1 species